UACGGGGGGGGCAAGCGUUGUUCGGAAUUACUGGGCGUAAAGGGCUCGUAGGCGGCCCUCUAAGUCAGACGUGAAAUCCCUCGGCUUAACCGGGGAACUGCGUCUGAUACUGGAGGGCUUGAGUUUGGGAGAGGGAUGCGGAAUUCCAGGUGUAGCGGUGAAAUGCGUAGAUAUCUGGAGGAACACCGGUGGCGAAGGCGGCAUCCUGGACCGGCAUUGACGCUGAGGAGCGAAAGCCAGGGGAGCAAACGGG
rnacentral:rRNA from 1 species